ACAUGACCUCAGAUCAGGUGGGGCAACCCGCUGAGUUUAAGCAUAUCAAUAAGCGGAGGAGAAGAAACUUACGAAGAUUCCCUUAGUAACGGCGAGCGAAUCGGGAAAAGCCCAGCUUGAGAAUUAGGUGGUUGUGCCACCUAAAUUGUAGUCUGGAGAAGCGUCAUCAGCGACGGAUCAGGCCUAGGUCCCUUGGAAAGGGGUGCCAGGGAGGGUGACAGCCCCGUCCGGCUUGAACCUUGCUGCAACAUGAGGCGUUGUCGAUGAGUCGGGUUGUUUGGGAAUGCAGCCCCAAUUGGGUGGUAAAUUUCGUCCAAGGCUAAAUAGCGACGAGAGACCGAUAGCUAACAAGUACCGCGAGGGAAAGAUGAAAAGGACUUUGAAAAGAGAGUCAAAGAGUGCUUGAAAUUGUCAGGAGGGAAACGAAUGGGGGUCGGCGAUGCGUGCUGGUUUGAUGUUGAACUACUCACAUACAGGGUAGGUUAGCCACUUGGCUCGGCACGUGGAUCGUUGCGGGCUGUGCUUGCGGU
rnacentral:rRNA from 1 species